rnacentral:rRNA from 1 species
UACGUAGGGGGCGAGCGUUGUCCGAAUUUACUGGGCGUAAAGCGCGCGUAGGCGGCUAUUUAAGUCCGGGGUGAAAGGUCCAGCGCUCAACGCGGACAGUGCCCUGGAUACUGGGUGGCUUGAGUGUGGCAGGGGGGACCGGAAUUCCUGGUGUAGCGGUGAAAUGCGUAGAUAUCAGGAGGAACACCGGUGGCGAAGGCGGGUCCCUGGGCUAACACUGACGCUGAGGCGCGAAAGCGCGGGGAGCGAACGGG